CGACGUACUUCCGGCGAACAUUCGACAAAGUCUCGGCAAUGCUCCGGUGGACUCCCGGUAAGCUCCUGGACUUUGCAACGAUCUUCUUGGCAAGUUCCGAUGAGCUUCUAUGGCAAGCUCCUAGACUUCUCGGUUGGUUCCCGAAGAAAUUCCGACGAACGUCUGGACUUCCGUCGAACUCUCGAACUCCCAACGUGAUCUCGAUCUUGACUCCGGCACAACACAUGCUUUAUGUCUUACUGCCAUCGUAGUUAAUCCUG
rnacentral:lncRNA from 1 species